UACGUAGGGUGCAAGCGUUAAUCGGAAUUACUGGGCGUAAAGCGUGCGCAGGCGGCUUUGCAAGACAGAUGUGAAAUCCCCGGGCUCAACCUGGGAACUGCAUUUGUGACUGCAAAGCUAGAGUACGGCAGAGGGGGAUGGAAUUCCGCGUGUAGCAGUGAAAUGCGUAGAUAUGCGGAGGAACACCGAUGGCGAAGGCGGCAUCCUGGACCGACACUGACGCUGAGGAGCGAAAGCCAGGGGAGCAAACGGG
rnacentral:rRNA from 1 species